AUUGAACGCUGGCGGCAGGCCUAACACAUGCAAGUCGAGCGGACGAAUGGAGCUUGCUCCUGGAUUCAGCUGCGGACGGGUGAGUAAUGCCUAGGAAUCUGCCUUGUCUUGGGGGAUAACGUCAGGACACGGGCGCUAAUACCGCAUACGUCCUGAUGGAGAACGUGGGGGAUCUUCGGACAUCACGCUAUCUGAUGAGCCUAGGACGGAUUAGCUAGUUGGUGGGGUAAAGGCCUACCAAGGCGACGAUCCGUAACUGGUCUGAGAGGAUGAUCAGUCACACUGGAACUGAGACACGGUCCAGACUCCUACGGGAGGCAGCAGUGGGGAAUAUUGGACAAUGGGCGAAAGCCUGAUCCAGCCAUGCCGCGUGUGUGAAGAAGGUCUUCGGAUUGUAAAGCACUUUAAGUUGGGAGGAAGGGCAGUAAGUUAAUACCUUGCUGUUUUGACGUUACCAACAGAAUAAGCACCGGCUAACUUCGUG
rnacentral:rRNA from 1 species